GGGGUUGUGGCUCAGUGGUAGAGCGCUCGCCUAGCACGUGUGGGGUGCCAUGUUCAAUCCUCAGCCCCA
rfam:Ictidomys tridecemlineatus contig051978, whole genome shotgun sequence.